UACGGGGGGGGCAAGCGUUGUUCGGAAUUACUGGGCGUAAAGGGCUCGUAGGCGGCCAACUAAGUCAUACGUGAAAUCCCUCGGCUUAACCGGGGAACUGCGUCUGAUACUGGAUGGCUUGAGAUUGGGAGAGGGAUGCGGAAUUCCAGGUGUAGCGGUGAAAUGCGUAGAUAUCUGGAGGAACACCGGUGGCGAAGGCGGCAUCCUGGACCGACACUGACGCUGAGGAGCGAAAGCCAGGGGAGCAAACGGG
rnacentral:rRNA from 1 species